rnacentral:lncRNA from 1 species
CCCAUUCCUGGGCCCACACUCCAUCCCUAAUCCCUCCCCCGACCCCUGCAUCUUCUCCUGACUCUGACUCUCUUCCCAUAUUUGAUCUUCUUUCUGUCCCCACGUCUUCACUAACCCCAGCUUGGAACCUCAUGCUACCCUUGAGACUUCACUAGCCCCGGUGCCUUCAUCCCUCCCUGACGCUCACCCCAUCUGUGAACUGAUAGCUUAUUCCCAGCACCCCCGCUUAUUCCUAUCCAUUGCCCUAUCACUGACCUUCGCCCUAUAAAAGUACAAAUGGUCACAUUCUGUGUCCUCUGUGACCCUAACACACCUCCUGUUGGCAUUUGCUCUCCCUCCUGUUAUCCAUUGGCAGCUCCUAAUGGGCCAGGGGAAUGUGGAUUUAUUGGUCUUAUUGGAUUUGAUUGGAGCUCCAAACCCAACGUUUCCCAAUUUUUUUCCAAACUCAGCCAGGUGGUUCGAAAGACUUCAAGCAAUUGAACAUGAACUUCAUGAAUUGGGUUUGCUCAAGGAUCACUCUUUGGAGGGGCGGUAUUUCCAGAAUUACAGUUAUGGAGGUGUGAUUCAGGAUGACCAUAUUCCAUUUUUAAGAAGAGGUGUUCCAGUUCUGCAUCUGAUACCGUCUCCUUUCCCUGAAGUCUGGCACACCAUGGAUGACAAUGAAGAAAAUUUGGAUGAAUCAACCAUUGACAAUCUAAACAAAAUCCUACAAGU